GUGCACUGUCUUUGAACCUGGUUGACCCUUUCUGUGGUCUCUCAGGCCAAUCUACAGCUGCUACAGCAACAACCUGGCUUGUUUAUAACUGGGGCCUCUUGGCUAAACCACCAGGCGGCCCUUUUAAGAACAACUCACACCU
ensembl:snoRNA